rnacentral:piRNA from 2 species
UCAAUAAAUAUUUGUAGAAUGC